rnacentral:misc_RNA from 1 species
AAGUCGUAACAGGGUUUCCGUAGGUGAACCUGCGGAAGGAUCAUUAACACGUAUCCAAACGUUAAAACCCCCCCCGGGGCCCGUGAACAUUGAUUCCUGCUCUUGUAACCCGCGAAGCUUGCAAUCUCUGGUAAAUCAUAGCCCGGCGAGCGGUAGUUCUUUAGGCCUUGUUUCCCCAAGCAGUCAGUGUCUGAAAGUGUCAGUGAUUGUGCGAGGAUAACGCUUCACGAUUCUUGUAGACCGCACCUCGCGGGCAGGAGCUAGGCCAAAGGGUCCCCAUGCCCCCUUACAACCCCACAGUUAAAUGUGAAGCUCAAUGUAAUACAUUGGGUAAAAAACCGAACAACUGUUAACAAUGGAUAGCUUGGUUCUC